UUAUUGGAGAGUUUGAUCCUGGCUCAGGAUGAACGCUGGCGGCGUGCCUAAUACAUGCAAGUCGAGCGAAUGAAUUAAGAGCUUGCUCUUAUGAAGUUAGCGGCGGACGGGUGAGUAACACGUGGGUAACCUGCCCAUAAGACUGGGAUAACUCCGGGAAACCGGGGCUAAUACCGGAUAACAUUUUGAACCGCAUGGUUCGAAAUUGAAAGGCGGCU
rnacentral:rRNA from 1 species